rnacentral:rRNA from 1 species
CGGAACCCGGGACGGUGGACCGUAAUAAAAGGGUUUUGCUACCACUUACAGAUGGACCCGCGGCGCAUUAGUAGUUGGUGAGGUAACGGCUCACCAAGGCACGAUGCGUAGCCGACCUGAGAGGGUGAUCGGCCACACUGGGACUGAGACACGGCCCAGACUUACGGGAGGCAGCAGUAGGGAUCUCCGCAAUGGACGAAAGUCUGACGGAGCAACGCCGCGUGAGUGAUGAAGGUUUUCGGAUCGUAAAACUCUGUUGUUAGGGAAGAACAAGUACCGUUCGAAUAGGGCGGUCCUUGACGGUACCUAACCAGAAAGCCACGGCUAACUACGUGCCAGCAGCCGCGGUAAUACGUAGGUGCAAGCGUUGUCCGGAAUUAUUGGGCGUAAAGCGCGCGCAGGCGGUUUCUUAAGUCUGAUGUGAAAGCCCCCGGCUCAACCGGGGAGGUCGGGGAACUUGAGUGCAGAAGAGGAGAGUGGAGAGAUGGAGGAACACCA